rnacentral:rRNA from 1 species
UAGUCAUAUGCUCGUCUCAAAGAUUAAGCCAUGCAUGUGUAAGUAUAAGCAUUUAUACUGUGAAACUGCGAACGGCUCAUUAAAUCAGUUAUCGUUUAUUUGAUAUUUCCUUACUACAUGGAUAACCGUAGUAAUUCUAGAGCUAAUACAUGCGCAAAAUUUCAAUCCGCAAGGAGAGAAAUGUAUUUAUUAGAUAAAAAACCAAUCCGUGUUCUGCACGGUUCUUUGGUGAUUCAUAAUAACUGUAUCGAAUCGUAUGGCCUUGUGCCGACGAUGU